rnacentral:rRNA from 1 species
CUAAGAAAACGGCGAAAGCUUGUUCGAAUUUGCGACAUGAAUUGUAAGACUGUGUGAAUUGUGUGUGCAGUUGUCGUAUGUUUUCG